rnacentral:rRNA from 1 species
GACGAACGCUGGCGGCGUGCUUAACACAUGCAAGUCGAACGGAAAGGCCCUGCUUUUGUGGGGUGCUCGAGUGGCGAACGGGUGAGUAACACGUGAGUAACCUGCCCUUGACUUUGGGAUAACUUCAGGAAACUGGGGCUAAUACCGGAUAGGAGCUCCUGCUGCAUGGUGGGGGUUGGAAAGUUUCGGCGGUUGGGGAUGGACUCGCGGCUUAUCAGCUUGUUGGUGGGGUAGUGGCUUACCAAGGCUUUGACGGGUAGCCGGCCUGAGAGGGUGACCGGCCACAUUGGGACGGAGAUACGGCCCAGACUCCUACGGGAGGCAGCAGUGGGGAAUAUUGCACAAUGGGCGGAAGCCUGAUGCAGCAACGCCGCGUGCGGGAUGAUGGCCUUCGGGUUGUAAACCGCUUUCGCCUGUGACGAAGCGUGAGUGACGGUAAUGGGUAAAGAAGCACCGGCUAACUACGUG